AAGUUAUCAUACCAGGUCUGCGAAUCGAGAUAACAAUUUAAAUGAAUUAUUAUUAUUUUUAUUAGUUUUGUUUUUUAAACAGAAAUUGGGCAAUACGGAAACAAAACGCUGUCUGAAUGGCCGCUUAUCAAUACGAGAUGUUCUACAAUCAACCCACCAGUUGUAUAUAUAGCGUCGAUAAUCGCGCCUUGAGCCCAAUACAGAGCAGCGGUUGUCAAGCGUGCGAGAUUUGGACUUGGACUCGCAGUCGCCUGAUAACUGACAGAGCAAACGAGCGAGUUAAAUAUUGACUAGGCUCUGAGAAAUCAUAAGAUGCUAUCUCGACUAAAACACGAAAAAAGAAACUAUUUUAAGAGAAAAGCAAGUUCACAACAUGAUCAGAGGUUACAGAGCUAAAUAUUUCUAGAUUUCUAGUUGGGAAGAUUUCAAAUCCUGAUUUGUUAGUAAAAUACAGAAAUAAUAUUCCACAACCCUAAUCUAAUCAAAGCUUGACCCUAAUCAGUUUUUAAAUUAGAAUAAACUAAACAGUAAUUAAAAGUCUGUAACAGUAA